GAUGAACGCUGGCGGCGUGCCUAAUACAUGCAAGUCGAGCGAACAGAUAAGGAGCUUGCUCCUUUGACGUUAGCGGCGGACGGGUGAGUAACACGUGGGUAACCUACCUAUAAGACUGGGAUAACUUCGGGAAACCGGAGCUAAUACCGGAUAAUAUUUCGAAUCGCAUGGUUCGAUAGUGAAAGAUGGUUUUGCUAUCACUUAUAGAUGGACCCGCGCCGUAUUAGCUAGUUGGUAAGGUAACGGCUUACCAAGGCGACGAUACGUAGCCGACCUGAGAGGGUGAUCGGCCACACUGGAACUGAGACACGGUCCAGGCUCCUACGGGAGGCAGCAGUAGGGAAUCUUCCGCAAUGGGCGAAAGCCUGACGGAGCAACGCCGCGUGAGUGAUGAAGGUCUUCGGAUCGUAAAACACUGUUAUUAGGGAAGAACAUACGUGUAAGUAACUGUGCACGUCUUGACGGUACCUAAUCAGAAAGCCACGGCUAACUACGUGCCAGCCGCCGCCGUAA
rnacentral:rRNA from 1 species